AGAAAGACCUUUCCGUUACUAAUUUUAAAGAUGGGAAGUGGCAGUGUUUGGAAGGUCAGAAGUUUCCUUCUCACCUCUGAAGUAAUGAAAAUAGGCAGCUGGUGGAAGACACUUCAAAAAAAUCUUUCACACCAAUGCUAUAUUAGCCUUAUCAGCAAAUUUUGACAGAUGCUCAAAUGGCCUUGCUCUUAAAGCUCCAAACAGUGGAAAUAUCAUCACUGCUAUAGACAACUUAGUCAGGUAGUCAACUAUUUUAUCCCUAGAAUGCUUUACCAGGAGUAACACCACAUUUUGCCAGCUAUAUUGCUUAUUUAUCUUUACUAUUUCAUAGAAUCAUAGAAUUGUUCAGGUUGGAAAAGACCUUGAAGACCAUCAAGUCCAACUGCAAUCUAACCUAUUUUGCACUUGGAACAAAAGUAAAACAGCCUAACAGCUUUGACAUUUACAGAACCUAUAUGGCAGUUAUGUGAUUUUUAUUUCAGAUUUGCAAAUCACAGCCCAGAUUUCGGAUGGGCUCAGCCUUUUGGGAAGCUCAGGGUAAGCUGGCACAGCUCCUUCACGCAUGUUUGUGUACGUGGCGCUGCUCCUACCUGUAUGCCAAGAAAGCCACCGGCCGCUGGUGCCCGUGUUCAUCCGUCAUCGAGCCCACGCUGGGGGGCUCCACGAUCACAUCGUAGAUAAUUCCUGCGAGGAAACAAACAAACACACAGCGUCAGCUUGGAGUCUCAAGCGAAGGGGGAAAACCAAGGCGACAGCUGGCAGGCGGGCAGCGCAUCCUAUGGCCCGCCGGGCGCCGCAGGACGUUCAGCCACGCGGCUUCCAUCGCCGCGGCCUCCCCUGGCGCGGCGGUACCUCCGGUGAUGAGGAAGUACGACACCACCACCAGCGCGUAGACCGUCAUGGCCGAGGGCAUGUGCACCCAUCCCGGUCGCUUCAGCUUGAUGUUGGGGCACUCGAGGACGGCGAAGGGCAGCCGGAACAGCGUCUCCAUGGCGGCGGCUCGGUGCGCACGCCGGUCCCGCGCCGCCGGGCGCUUUGCUCACACGAAGGCGGAAACGGAAAGCCAGCCGGGUCCUGGCAGGGGCGAGUAAAGAGAAGAAAAGCGAAAAAAAAAAAAAAGAUGAAACCAACAAAAUCCCCGCAAAGCGACGCUGGAACGUAAGAUAUUCUCUGCGCACGCCUUCGAUUUGCGAAAAACAUCCGGAAGCCGAGGCCGCUCCUCGGAGGGUAACGAUUCCCUUUACCCACCUGCCAGGGCCCAGCAGCCCUGACGUGUCGCCACCGAGUAGCCGGGAGGAGCGCGGCGGAGCGGGCGGAGCGCUGCCCGCAGGACA